rnacentral:rRNA from 1 species
GUCUACGGCUAUAGUACCCUGAACACUUGGGAUCUGAUCUCAGAAGCUAAGCAAGGCCAGGACUGGUUAGUACUUGGAUGGGAGACCACCUGUUAAAAAUAUAUAUGUAAAUA